GCGGAGGGCCGGAUGGCCGCGGCACCUGCAAGGGUGUCGAGGAAAGUCCGGACUCCACAAGACAACGGUGCCGGGUAACGCCCGGCUGGGGUAACCCAAGGGAAAGCGCCACAGAGAAGAGACCGCCCCAGAGUGAUCUGAGGUAAGGGUGAAACGGUGGGGUAAGAGCCCACCGCGGGACGGGCAACCGGACCGGCACGGCAAGCCCCACCGGGAGCAAUGCCAAAUAGGGACCGCGCGCGGGGGCUGGUCCUGGACCCUGGUCCGGGAUACCGCCCGCAGGCACGUCUUGGCCCGGCGGUCCGGGUUGGCAGCUAGAGGGGCGUUGGCAACAGCGUCCCAAGAGGAAUGGUCAUCCAGCCUCGGAUUACGGUCCGGGGUGGACAGAAUCCGGCUUACAGGCUCUCCGCGCCC
rnacentral:RNase_P_RNA from 18 species